UGGGGAAUAUUGGACAAUGGGCGAAAGCCUGAUCCAGCCAUGCCGCGUGUGUGAAGAAGGUCUUCGGAUUGUAAAGCACUUUAAGUUGGGAGGAAGGGCAGUAAGCGAAUACCUUGCUGUUUUGACGUUACCGACAGAAUAAGCACCGGCUAACUCUGUGCCAGCAGCCGCGGUAAUACAGAGGGUGCAAGCGUUAAUCGGAAUUACUGGGCGUAAAGCGCGCGUAGGUGGUUCGUUAAGUUGAAUGUGAAAGCCCCGAGCUCAACCUGGGAACUGCAUCCGAGACUGGGGAGCUAGAGUAGGGCAGAGGGGGGUGGAAUUUCCUGUGUAGCGGUGAAAUGCGUAGAUAUAGGAAGGAACACCAGUGGCGAAGGCGACCACCUGGGCUCAUACUGACACUGAGGUGCGAAAGCGUGGGGAGCAAACAGG
rnacentral:rRNA from 1 species